UGAAUUUCAAAUUUUUAAUUUUCUUCUUUUAAUUGAUUAAUUAAUUAAUUGGUUUCUUUUUUAGUUGAUUAAUUUGAUUGUUAAUCUCUUCGUUUGGUGAAUUUAAUUCUAUCUGGAUCUUAGCUUUGUUCUAAUUGGAACAAUUAUCAUUGAAAAUGGAUUUUUUUUUCUUCUGAAUUUGUCUAUGUGUUUGUCUCGCUCACCCAUUUGGUUUUAUUCAUCGAUGUUCCUGUUUCCAUGUUAUUCAGAGUAACGGAUUGAUGAUUCUAAAUACAAUUACCAAGAAGAAAACAAUAUGCUCGAUGGUUUAUGUAAACUAUUGAUGCCCUUAAGCCUUAUUCACGGGAAUGAUUGAGUAUUUAUGGUUUUGAUAACAAGAGUCAAGAUUAUCAAACAUGAGCCAUGAAAAUGACCUGAAUGUGAAUCAUCAAUAUCGAGAAAAUUGAAUGAAUAUUAAAGUCACCAAAUCAACAAUCAAAUCUAUUGGAUGGUGGAUAAUAUUAAAUGUAAAAAGAAAAUAACAAAAGAUUAUUACACAGUUUAUCAUCAAUUUUGGUGGACAAGUUAUCACCACCAAUCAUCAUCAUCAUCAUCAUCGUGGGCAAUACUAUCAAAAGUAACUACCAACGUCAUCAUCAUGAUCAAUUGAAGUGAAAUGGAUGAGGAAUGAAAAAUUAUCCUGAAAGAUUGGUAACAAAACCCAUUGGAUUACAGGAACCAUAUGAUAAGACGCUGUUGAUGGUAAAAUGAUCAUUAAUUUAUAUAUAAACUGGAGGAAAAGUGAAAAUAAAGGUGUUCACAAUCAACUGGAUCAUUAAAUUGUUGUUUGUUGGGUCAAGCAUAAAGUCUGUUUUAAAUGGUCAACAUGAUUCUCGUGGUAAAUUGUCACUGGUGUUAAAUUGGUAAAUGAUUGUGGUCAAUCUUACAGACACACUAAUAUCCACUUAAUCUGUAUCAAGGUGAAUUUGUAUUUUCAAUCGUGCAUCUAAAUUGUUUAUCACAAAUUAGUUUAAUUGGGAUUAUUUUCAUCUUCUCUUGUCUCAUCAUCAUCACGACACAAAACUAUGACGAUAAACUAUUACCACCAACCUCCCAUUUCCUAUUUACCUCUGGAUCUCUCGAUUUCACUCUCACGAGAAACAAUAAUAAUCAAAUAGUGAAUCAAAAUCUCAUAUCAAUUUCAAUGUUUCUUGUGUGUUUGUUUAGUUUUAAGUGGUAAAAUCAACAUCAUCUUAAAGCUAAAACUUUUAAUAAGUAUAUAAAUAUAUACACCAUGGUGGAAAAAAUGAAAACAGAGAAAUCAUAUUAAGUCUGUGAAACUGAAAAUUUGAGAUAAAACAGAAAAUAAGUUAAGUCACUUAACUGUUAUACUUUUUUUCACCAACCUUUUAUUAAGCUUUUAUUUUUGUUCUUCUCAUCCAUCUUUUCUUCCUCAUCAUCCUCAUCAACAUCUCUCUCUCUCUCUCUUUCUCCUCCUCUUUUUCUAGUAUCACUUUUUUUUAAUAAUCAUAAUACACUGAAUUGUAUUCAAAAGCAAAAACACAGAGACCAACAACUCAUAUUGUCUCCAAUUCAUCAUCCAUCUUUUUUCUCAUCAUCUUGUCUCUCUCCCACUCUCAUUGACUGUUCUUGCUCUCUCUCUCUCUCUCUCUCUCUCUCUCUCUGGUGUUUAUCUUCAUCAUCUUCCUGAUUCUACAAACAAACAAUUUAAAUUCUGUUACUUUUUUUUAUAGCAUUUUAUAGUUUACAAGUUAUCUGAUUUUGGAUUGAAAAUGAAUUCAGAAUGAAUUUAAUGUUAGAAAACAAAUAAUCACAGUAAACACACUGAAAUCUGUCAUGAUGACGAAGAUGAUGAUUCCCUUCACCCUCCCCAUACCUAAUCCAUAUCCAUUGUAAAUGUCAAUUAGUUUCAAGUACCAAGUUUGUUGUUAAAUUGUUAUGAUGCUAAAAAAAGAUGAGUUUCCCAAAAAUCUGUUAAUCUGUAAACAUUAUCAUAUGUGUAUUUGCCUUUUAUCACCUUCCUAAGCCUUUGAAUCCUUGUUUCCCUUUUUUUUCUGUGUAAUAAUAUGUUAUCAUAAUCACCACUAUCAUCAUAUGGAACAUCAUCUACCACCGCAUCAUCACACAAAACUGUCAACAAGCAAGAAGACAAGGAAGAUAAUGAUUUUUUUUCUACAAAAUCAAGUCCAAUAUAUACAAAUAUGGUUACUGUCCCUUCAAGGCUUCAAUGUUAUUCAUUCAAUUUCAAUGUUAUUCAAGACCAACUCUUGAUUGUUUUUUUCUGUCUCAACUUAUCUGUUAUCCGUCAUUUAAACUAAUUGUGUAUUUAAUACACACACACUCAUCAACAUUAUCAUCGCCAUCAUCAUCAUAAUUAUCAUCAUCCCUUUUUUUGAAUGAAUCUCCUUUUGCUUGA